rnacentral:lncRNA from 1 species
AGUAAAUCCUUAGCAAACUCUGGAGGAUUCCAGACAACAAAGCUGCGGCCUGUGUGACUCCAAGAGACCACAGAGUCAGUCACCGGGCCUUCAAUCAUCUCAUAAGUCUUUGUAAGAAACGGAGCUGGUGAACUCGAACCAUUAGACCAUUCCAUCAUAAUAACAAUAUAGCUAAAUAAUUCAUCUUUGAGAUUUAAUUAAGGUACAAUAAAAUCAAGAAAACAAUUUCUGAGUGACACUCUUAACUUGAAAACAGAUUGAGGUGGAGAGCAAAGAGGCUCUAGAGAAGAGUGUAGCAGGGAAGACUACAAUAAAAUAAUGUGGAUAGAAACAAAUUUAAGUAUUAUCACAAAGAUUGAAUCAUAAAAUCGAAGGUAGAGAAACGGAAACACUAUACAUGUAGCUUUCUUGCCGAAUCAAGAGAGCCGAAACUAAUCCACAAAAAUUAUUUUUGCCUCCAAAAAUUACUAACCUAACCUGAUCAAAGCCACAACAUAACACAAACACGAAUGAUCAAAUCACAAAAAAUUCCUCUUUUUUUUUCGUUUAAGAUCAAAGCAAAAAACUCCCUAUAACCAAGAAAACCAUAUCUCACAUGCCUCAACUAAUCUAAUAGUCUAAUACAUCAAAAUCAAAUUUAUCACCAAACCGGAUAAAAGAUCUAUAAUUUCAAAACCUACCCUCAUAAAAACUCCACAAAAUUUAACCAAAAUCAUUGUUCUCUAUACAAAAACUGAUCAUGAUUCUAAACAGAAAUUUAUACAAAACCCAAUAACCAUAGACAUAUUCAUCCAGCACCUCAAUAAUAAUAUAAAUAACGCAGGAAUGCAAUGACAAUUUGAUUGCCAGAAAGCUUGUAAAGAAAACAGGAUACCAAAUCAGAUACUUCAACUGAUAUAUUAGAAAAUGCACUAAAAUUUAACUGAUGCAUUAGAAAAUUGCAUUAACAAUUCCAUGUUACCUGAAUCUUAAAUCCUGAUUCAGUACCGUGUUUCUGCAGUAUUUGGGCGAGGAAUGUAAUAGUAUUUCUCUGCCGAUUUUCUAUGUUUUUCAAACACUCCGAUAGGGAAUGCACUUCAAUUUCAAAUCCUUGACUCUCCUCCUUAU